rnacentral:rRNA from 1 species
UACGUAGGCAGCAAGCGUUGUUCGGAGUUACUGGGCGUAAAGGGUGUGUAGGCGGUCUUCUAAGUUUGGUGUGAAAUCUCCCGGCUCAACUGGGAGGGUGCGCCGAAAACUGGGAGGCUAGAGUACUGGAUGGGAGAGUGGAAUUCCUGGUGUAGCGGUGAAAUGCGUAGAUAUCAGGAGGAACACGGUGGUGUAGACGGCUCUCUGGACAGUAACUGACGCUGAGACACGAAAGCGUGGGUAGCAAACAGG